UUUAUGGAGAGUUUGAUCCUGGCUCAGAGUGAACGCUGGCGGCGUGCCUAAUACAUGCAAGUCGAACGAUGAAGCUUCUAGCUUGCUAGAAGCGGAUUAGUGGCGUACGGGUGAGUAACGCAUAGGUCAUGUGCCUCUUAGUUUGGGAUAGCCAUUGGAAACGAUGAUUAAUACCAGAUACUCCCUACGGGGGAAAGAUUUAUCGCUAAGAGAUCAGCCUAUGUCCUAUCAGCUUGUUGGUAAGGUAAUGGCUUACCAAGGCUAUGACGGGUAUCCGGCCUGAGAGGGUGAACGGACACACUGGAACUGAGACACGGUCCAGACUCCUACGGGAGGCAGCAGUAGGGAAUAUUGCUCAAUGGGGGAAACCCUGAAGCAGCAACGCCGCGUGGAGGAUGAAGGUUUUAGGAUUGUAAACUCCUUUUGUUAGAGAAGAUAAUGACGGUAUCUAACGAAUAAGCACCGGCUAACUCCGUGCCAGCAGCCGCGGUAAUACGGAGGGUGCAAGCGUUACUCGGAAUCACUGGGCGUAAAGAGCGCGUAGGCGGGAUAGUCAGUCAGGUGUGAAAUCCUAUGGCUUAACCAUAGAACUGCAUUUGAAACUACUAUUCUAGAGUGUGGGAGAGGUAGGUGGAAUUCUUGGUGUAGGGGUAAAAUCCGUAGAGAUCAAGAGGAAUACUCAUUGCGAAGGCGACCUGCUGGAACAUUACUGACGCUGAUUGCGCGAAAGCGUGGGGAGCAAACAGGAUUAGAUACCCUGGUAGUCCACGCCCUAAACGAUGGAUGCUAGUUGUUGGAGGGCUUAGUCUCUCCAGUAAUGCAGCUAACGCAUUAAGCAUCCCGCCUGGGGAGUACGGUCGCAAGAUUAAAACUCAAAGGAAUAGACGGGGACCCGCACAAGCGGUGGAGCAUGUGGUUUAAUUCGAAGAUACACGAAGAACCUUACCUAGGCUUGACAUUGAGAGAAUCCGCUAGAAAUAGUGGAGUGUCUAGCUUGCUAGACCUUGAAAACAGGUGCUGCACGGCUGUCGUCAGCUCGUGUCGUGAGAUGUUGGGUUAAGUCCCGCAACGAGCGCAACCCCCUUUCUUAGUUGCUAACAGGUCAUGCUGAGAACUCUAAGGAUACUGCCUCCGUAAGGAGGAGGAAGGUGGGGACGACGUCAAGUCAUCAUGGCCCUUACGCCUAGGGCUACACACGUGCUACAAUGGGGUGCACAAAGAGAAGCAAUACUGCGAAGUGGAGCCAAUCUUCAAAACGCCUCUCAGUUCGGAUUGUAGGCUGCAACUCGCCUGCAUGAAGCUGGAAUCGCUAGUAAUCGCAAAUCAGCCAUGUUGCGGUGAAUACGUUCCCGGGUCUUGUACUCACCGCCCGUCACACCAUGGGAGUUGUGUUUGCCUUAAGUCAGGAUGCUAAAUUGGCUACUGCCCACGGCACACACAGCGACUGGGGUGAAGUCGUAACAAGGUAACCGUAGGUGAACCUGCGGUUGGAUCACCUCCUUUCUAGA
rnacentral:rRNA from 1 species